GUUCGUUUGUUUGUUUGUAGAGGCCAGGUCUCCCUGUGUUGCCUAGGCUGGUCUCAAACUCCUGGCUCUGAGUGAUCCUCCCACCUUGGCCUCCCGAAGUGCUGGGAUUACAGGUGUGAGCCACUGUAGCCGACCAUUUCUUAAUUUAUUGAAUCCUGGUGUCUUAGGUGUUUAAGCGUCCUCAGGGCUUGCAGGAGAAAGUUUCUGAUUAAGGAAAUGGAUCCGUGGAAGUUGCUGAGGAUGGAGUUUCUUUCCCUUGUGUUACAGCUGACCAGUCAUGGGGCUAGAGCUGGAACUCAGACAUCCCCUCUCCAGGCUUGACUGACAGUAACCAGGGGUUAAAGGCACUCCAUCUAACUUGGAUCAACGAUCCCAGGGCUGUUGAAGGAGAUGACAGGCCCAUGUGUGUGCCCACACUGGCUCCAAGCAGAGAGGAACCAGUUCUACCUCAAGACUCCCAGGCACCCCCGAUCUGGAAGACAGAGCUCUAUCUUGCUGCAAAGCUACAUCUGCCCACCAGAUGAGCAGUACCUGUAAAAACUUCCCACAUCAAGCCUUGUGGGGCUAAUGCCUCUUCCAGAGCCGCUGACAACAGGAAAAUGAUCCUAGCACUGCACUUCCCAAAGGACUCAGAGAUUCUUGCCCUGGAGCCAGGAAUGGGGAGUUUGAUGUUGUGUUGUCCACAGACAUUCCAGAAGGAAAGGGUUGCAGUAGGAGAAGGCCUGGACGAACAAGAGGAGGGACCAGGGAACAAAAGCAGAUUCUCAAAGAGGUCAAUAUAUAUUGGCUAAUUGCUUAAUAUUGGUAAUAGUAUUAAUAACAAAAAUCCCUACCAUUUACUGAAGGCCUUUAGCAUGCCAGGCCUCUUGCAGACAUCGCUCCAAUUCAUUCUCACAGCCUUGCAGAAUAUGUAUUACUUUCCCCAUUCUACAGAAGAAGAAACUGCUACUCCCAGAGGGUAUGCUUUCAAAGAUCACAGGGCUGCCACCAAGCCUGCUGCUUCAUGUCUGAGUGAAACAGAGCAAUCUCCCAGAUAACAGGAGACGGGUAGGUGGAAACAUUUCUAAAAUGGGGCUGAAGGAGAGCAAGUAAGCGCCAAACCUCGGUCCCAGCCCCUCUUGGAAUUGAGUUAAAGAGAAAAGAAGAGCUAAGAGCUCAGCGUUCCUGAAAGCAGCAUGGGUGUCUUUUUUAAUAAACACGCCAAAGCUUGACUCUCUG
rnacentral:lncRNA from 10 species